CAGGCGUUGCAGCUGCGUGUUCUUCUCGCAUCUUCAUCCCGCGCAGCGCUUCCACCAUGGUGGACAUACUGAUGUUGAUGUUUUUCGCCGUCAUGGGUCUCGUCUUCCUCUCCUACAUUAUCUACAUGCUGUGAUGUGUCGGCCAGCCGUUUUCACAACGGGACGGAGGUGGGGUUUUGUCCCUCCUACAUCCCUGCUUACCGUCAUAGACAUAGACUGAAGAACCUCAUGCAGGUCAUGAUGUUUCCCCUCUCCGCUCUAAGAUGGGACAUAAGGGGAUCCCUGAGGAAGAGGACUGGACACCUUUCAUCUUUUCUUAUUAUUUUCCUCCAUCUGUGGCCUCGCCUUAUCUCUUCCAACACCCCUGCAGCCCUUAUUUACUCUUACCUUCAAUUAGCAUAAAACCAGUAAAUCCAUUGAUAUGAAUACAGUGUUUUUGUUGCCAGUAUGUUCUCCUUCCUGCUCUCUAUAUUAAUUUUAGCAACAGAUUACUCAUAAUGCAGCAUAAAAAUGGGUCAUUUCCUGCUUUUGUCCCAUCUGGCAGAGAAUUCCCCGUUUGGAGAAGGAUUGUUUAUUCAUAUUCAUUUCAUUCCACUGAUGUUGGGUUUACAGAUGCACUGAUAAUCAGCUAAAUAUGUUUCACAUGAUGUUAAUUAAAAAUGAUUUAAAUACACCCAAACUGCCUUUUCAUCAAUUAAGUUGGACAGUAAAGUUAAAUAAGUCCUCAGCGAAUAAGUCAGUGAAAAUGAUGCUAAUCAUGUAAUAUGAGAAGCACUGCUACUUAUUCUCAUGGUGCAU